GUGAAGGUAAACAAGAACUUAUAAUAACUCUUACAUGUGGUGGAGGCUCCUUCUUUGGAGACUUUUAAGCAGAGGCUGGAUGGCCAUCUGUCUGGGGUGCGCUGAAUGUGAUUUUCCCGCUUCUUGGCAGGUAGUUGGAGUUGAUGGUCCACAAGGUCUCUUCCAACUCUAUUAUUCUAUGAUUCUGUGUAUGUUCUUCUGAGUCAUUUCCAAUUUAUGGCUGCCCUAUGGUGUUCCGGAGGGUUUUAUUGGUAAGAUUUGAUCAAAGGGGGUUUGCUCUUGCCUUCCUCUGAGGCUGAGAGAGUGUGACAUCCACAAGGUCACAUGGCUGAGCCAUGAUUCAAACCCUGGUUUCCAGAGCUGUAGCCCAAUGCUCAGUUCAGUGCACCAUGAUUGCUCUCUAAUACACACCAAACUGACUUAUAUUUCCAAGAGAAAUUACUGUUAAUUUUCCAUUACAGAUUUUAGGAUGUAUUUAGCAUAUUGAGGCAAACACUGCUUGAUGAACUUGCUUAUUUUAAAUCACCAACAGAUGUAAUUUUCUUUCAGAAGUUACUUUUCCAUGAAUUGUCACAAACUUACAAGGGUCUCUACUUGGGCCAGUUUGGCUACAAAGGAAGCAGGAGAAGAACUGAACCUGAGAUUCCCUGAAAGGUUGUUCAAAUCUGAUCACACCUGCCAAACCAUAAAGAACAGUGAUUUUCUGCUACGGCCACCACCCUUCAAAGACCUUCAGGGAUGCUAUUUUACUAUGCCAUUGGACUUGGGUAUCCAUGGAUUUUGUUAUCUACAGAGGUAUGGAACCAAACCCCAGCAGAUACCAUGGGCCUUUUGGGACAGCCUACAGGACACAAUACCUUGGCCCUUUGUGCCUGUCCAUGUGCAACUUUCAAACUCUACUUCUGCUUACAGGUGAAGUGAAAAGGGAGUCAAAGGCAAUUCAGGGGAAAGAAAAGAAGAGCACCACUCCAUCUAUAAGUACAUCCCCAUCUCUCUUCCCCUCCAAGCUAAGACCAGCUACUUCUUUCUGAUCUGAGUUGCCUUUCCCUAUCUCUUCUUACCAUUAAGCAAUAGCAACAGUCCUCCCAAGCCUGAAUAGCUGUUGGGAAAGGGGAUGAUAUGGAAUUCCAUGGACAGAGUAUAAUGCUCUGCACACUUGAUGUGGAUUUUGGCCCCAAAUGUGGCUUUAAAAGACCUGUUAUUUAUCUGAUGAUCAACUGCUGUAUCUUGCGCCAAAUGUAAUACAGUACUGUGUUUCCCUACUAAGUGGCAGUAAUUGACCUCCAGGCUUUUGAGGAUUAUGUUUUUCUUUCCCACCACCAUACA
rnacentral:lncRNA from 11 species